rnacentral:tRNA from 1 species
AUUUAUAUAGUUUAAUUAAAACAUUAUAUUUUCAAUAUAAAAAUAAAAUUUCUAAUUUUUAUAAAUA